rnacentral:rRNA from 1 species
GGUUAAGCGACUAAGCGUACACGGUGGAUGCCCUGGCAGUCAGAGGCGAUGAAGGACGUGCUAAUCUGCGAAAAGCGUCGGUAAGGUGAUAUGAACCGUUAUAACCGGCGAUGUCCGAAUGGGGAAACCCAGUGCAAUUCGUUGCACUAUCGUUAACUGAAUACAUAGGUUAACGAGGCGAACCGGGGGAACUGAAACAUCUAAGUACCCCGAGGAAAAGAAAUCAACCGAGAUUCCCCCAGUAGCGGCGAGCGAACGGGGAGCAGCCCAGAGUCUGAAUCAGCUUGUGUGUUAGUGGAACGGUCUGGAAAGUCCGACGGUACAGGGUGAUAGUCCCGUACACCAAAAUGCACAGGCUGUGAACUCGAAGAGUAGGGCGGGACACGUGGUAUCCUGUCUGAAUAUGGGGGGACCAUCCUCCAAGGCUAAAUACUCCUGACUGACCGAUAGUGAACCAGUACCGUGAGGGAAAGGCGAAAAGAACCCCGGCGAGGGGAGUGAAAAAGAACCUGAAACCGUGUACGUACAAGCAGUGGGAGCACCUUUAUGGUGUGACUGCGUACCUUUUGUAUAAUGGGUCAGCGACUUAUAUUCUGUAGCAAGGUUAACCGUAUAGGGGAGCCGCAGGGAAACCGAGUCUUAACUGGGCGUUAAGUUGCAGGGUAUAGACCCGAAACCCGGUGAUCUAGCCAUGGGCAGGUUGAAGGUUGGGUAACACUAACUGGAGGACCGAACCGACUAAUGUUGAAAAAUUAGCGGAUGACUUGUGGCUGGGGGUGAAAGGCCAAUCAAACCGGGAGAUAGCUGGUUCUCCCCGAAAGCUAUUUAGGUAGCGCCUCGUGAACUCAUCUUCGGGGGUAGAGCACUGUUUCGGCUAGGGGGUCAUCCCGACUUACCAACCCGAUGCAAACUACGAAUACCGAAGAAUGUUAUCACGGGAGACACACGGCGGGUGCUAACGUCCGUCGUGAAGAGGGAAACAACCCAGACCGCCAGCUAAGGUCCCAAAGUCAUGGUUAAGUGGGAAACGAUGUGGGAAGGCACAGACAGCCAGGAUGUUGGCUUAGAAGCAGCCAUCAUUUAAAGAAAGCGUAAUAGCUCACUGGUCGAGUCGGCCUGCGCGGAAGAUGUAACGGGGCUAAACCAUGCACCGAAGCUGCGGCAGCGACACUAUGUGUUGUUGGGUAGGGGAGCGUUCUGUAAGCCUGCGAAGGUGACCUGUGAGGGUUGCUGGAGGUAUCAGAAGUGCGAAUGCUGACAUAAGUAACGAUAAAGCGGGUGAAAAGCCCGCUCGCCGGAAGACCAAGGGUUCCUGUCCAACGUUAAUCGGGGCAGGGUGAGUCGACCCCUAAGGCGAGGCCGAAAGGCGUAGUCGAUGGGAAACAGGUUAAUAUUCCUGUACUUGGUGUUACUGCGAAGGGGGGACGGAGAAGGCUAUGUUAGCCGGGCGACGGUUGUCCCGGUUUAAGCAUGUAGGCUGGUUAUCCAGGCAAAUCCGGAUAAUCAAGGCUGAGGUGUGAUGACGAGGCACUACGGUGCUGAAGUAACAAAUGCCCUGCUUCCAGGAAAAGCCUCUAAGCAUCAGGUAACAUCAAAUCGUACCCCAAACCGACACAGGUGGUCAGGUAGAGAAUACCAAGGCGCUUGAGAGAACUCGGGUGAAGGAACUAGGCAAAAUGGUGCCGUAACUUCGGGAGAAGGCACGCUGGUGUGUAGGUGAAGUCCCUGCGGAUGGAGCUGAGACCAGUCGAAGAUACCAGCUGGCUGCAACUGUUUAUUAAAAACACAGCACUGUGCAAACACGAAAGUGGACGUAUACGGUGUGACGCCUGCCCGGUGCCGGAAGGUUAAUUGAUGGGGUUAUCCGUAAGGAGAAGCUCUUGAUCGAAGCCCCGGUAAACGGCGGCCGUAACUAUAACGGUCCUAAGGUAGCGAAAUUCCUUGUCGGGUAAGUUCCGACCUGCACGAAUGGCGUAAUGAUGGCCAGGCUGUCUCCACCCGAGACUCAGUGAAAUUGAACUCGCUGUGAAGAUGCAGUGUACCCGCGGCAAGACGGAAAGACCCCGUGAACCUUUACUAUAGCUUGACACUGAACAUUGAGCCUUGAUGUGUAGGAUAGGUGGGAGGCUUUGAAGCGUGGACGCCAGUCUGCGUGGAGCCAACCUUGAAAUACCACCCUUUAAUGUUUGAUGUUCUAACGUUGGCCCCUUAUCGGGGUUGCGGACAGUGUCUGGUGGGUAGUUUGACUGGGGCGGUCUCCUCCCAAAGCGUAACGGAGGAGCACGAAGGUUAGCUAAUCCUGGUCGGACAUCAGGAGGUUAGUGCAAUGGCAUAAGCUAGCUUGACUGCGAGCGUGACGGCGCGAGCAGGUGCGAAAGCAGGUCAUAGUGAUCCGGUGGUUCUGAAUGGAAGGGCCAUCGCUCAACGGAUAAAAGGUACUCCGGGGAUAACAGGCUGAUACCGCCCAAGAGUUCAUAUCGACGGCGGUGUUUGGCACCUCGAUGUCGGCUCAUCACAUCCUGGGGCUGAAGUAGGUCCCAAGGGUAUGGCUGUUCGCCAUUUAAAGUGGUACGCGAGCUGGGUUUAGAACGUCGUGAGACAGUUCGGUCCCUAUCUGCCGUGGGCGCUGGAGAAUUGAGGGGGGCUGCUCCUAGUACGAGAGGACCGGAGUGGACGCAUCACUGGUGUUCGGGUUGUCAUGCCAAUGGCACUGCCCGGUAGCUAAAUGCGGAAGAGAUAAGUGCUGAAAGCAUCUAAGCACGAAACUUGCCCCGAGAUGAGUUCUCCCUGAGACUUUAAGUCUCCUGAAGGAACGUUGAAGACGACGACGUUGAUAGGCCGGGUGUGUAAGCGCAGCGAUGCGUUGAGCUAACCGGUACUAAUGAACCGUGAGGCUUAACCUU